AAAGAUUUGAUGGAAGCGGGAAGAAGAAAGCAUCAUGGCCGAAGCAACUAAACUAUUUCUUGAAAGCAAAUUUCAGAUUCAAUCAGUCAGAUUUGUUACCUUCUUGAAAAGUGGAGUGGAAAAUGUCAGGUGGUGUGAUGAAAAGCCAUAUGACCAUGUGCUCAUCAUAUAUAAUUGGAAAAGAAAAUGAUCAAGGGAUUGGGUCUCCACGAAAAAGCUGAAAACCUAGUGAGUUUUUGUCUUUCAUCACCUUUGGUUGCAUUGUCAUCUACAUUUAUGACAUCAGGCUACUUCUGAGUGCAAUGGAUAACCGACUGAACGUGAUUGCUGUACUAGACUGACAAGUACCUUUGGCGCUAUCUUUGUUUCCCGACCCGAAUUCUUAGGUCGGUGUCCAUUCGACUCAUCAUUCUACAUAACAGUUUAUUUGAAGUAAUUGAUGGUAAUCAAUUACAAUCAAUCUGGAAGGCAUCGAAGAUCGAUCUACUCUGUGACCCACGUCU